GAUCUCUCAGGGUCACACCUAGAGAGUUUCCAGUAUUCUACCAGUCAUGGCUACAGGAGGGAGAGUCAAGCAGAGGCAUACCCAUUCCAUUCUUAGCUUGGCCAGUGGCUAGUGAGUGGAAGGCAAUAUGCUACAAGC
rfam:Ornithorhynchus anatinus chromosome 1, whole genome shotgun sequence.